UAUGUGAUCGUCUCUCGCAUAUCAAUAAGCGGAGGAAAAGAAACUAACAAGGAUUCCCCUAGUAACGGCGAGUGAAGCGGGAAGAGCUCAAAUUUGAAAUCUUAAAGGGUUUCCCUUUACGAAUUGUAGUUUAAAGAAGUGUUUUCUGUUGAGGUUUUGGUAAAAGUUCUUUGGAAUAGGACAUCAUAGAGGGUGAGAAUCCCGUAUUUGACCUUUACUUUCAACUUUGUGAUACACUUUCAAAGAGUCGGAUUGUUUGGGAAUGCAGUCCAAAAUGGGUGGUAAAUUUCAUCUAAAGCUAAAUAUUGGCGAGAGACCGAUAGCGAACAAGUACCGUGAGGGAAAGAUGAAAAGAACUUUGAAAAGAGAGUUAAACAGUACGUGAAAUUGUCAAAAGGGAGGCGUUUGACACCAGUGUUGUUUUUCUGAAAAUCAAUUAAAGAACUGUUUAUGCUAAGUUGUUUAGACUUUAUCAGCUAACUGUUUAGUUUUGAGCUUUUCUUUAAUGCACUUUUCAGUUAACAAGUCAACAUCAAUUUCUUUUGCUGUAAAAAAGCUUGAGGAAGGUGGCUUGAGAUUCGUCUUAAGUGUUUAUAGCCUCUUGCCUAUGCAGUCGGAGAGAUUGAGGUCUGCAGCGUAGAUCCUUCGGGGCUAAAUGCAUUUGUGCUAAGUUAUAGCAUUUUAUAGACAACUUGUUGACUAUGAUUUGUCUUGUAGCUUACUCGCUUAUGUUAUUUUACCUACGCUUAGGAUGUUGAAGAUAUGCGCGACACG
rnacentral:rRNA from 1 species